AGUCAAUAGAUACCCAGGUAGUCCAUGCCGUAAACGAUGAUUGCUAGGUGUGGGGGGUCUGACCCCUUCCGUGCCGGAGUUAAACACAAUAAGCAAUCCACCUGGGGAGUACGGCCGCAAGGUUGAAACUCAAAGGAAUUGACGGGGGCCCGCACAAGCAGUGGAGUAUGUGGUUUAAAUUCGAAGCAACGCGAAGAACCUUACCAGGUCUUGACAUCCACCGAAUCCUGUAGAGAUACGGGAGUGCCCUUCGGGGAACGGUGAGACAGGUGGUGCAUGGUUGUCGUCAGCUCGUGUCGUGAGAUGUUGGGUUAAGUCCCGCAACGAGCGCAACCCUUGUGAAUAGUUGCUACGAAAGAGCACUCUAUUCAGACCGCCGUUGACAAAACGGAGGAAGGUGGGGAUGACGUCAAAUCAUCAUGCCCCUUAUGACCUGGGCUACACACGUACUACAAUGGCCGUUAACAGAGGGAUGCAAUGCCGCGAGGU
rnacentral:rRNA from 1 species